UUUGAAUUGCAUUGCAUUGUUGCUUUGCUUGGUCACGUUUUAAGCUUACAUGUGCAAACAUACAGGUGCACUAAACCAAAGCACCACACGUAACACUCCUCCAUCCAAUUUCCCAGGUGGCAAGUCAAAGUUGCCCAUCAUGACACGUAUGAGAUAAAAAAAACCAUACUCAAACGUUCAAAUCAUUUAUUUAAAACCCUAUCCACUUUCCCAGCUUCAAAUCUAACUCUCCCUCUCUCUCUCCCUCCCUGCCUCUAUAAAUUUGCCCAUUUUUGUGGAUCUCAAAUGAGAGAGAGAUAAGAGAGAGAGAGAGAGAGAGAGAGAGCAAUAGGUUUAGAACACAGAAAUGGGAUUUAGAAUUGUGUAUGGUGUGCUGUUUCUGUCGUUCUCGUGCGCCUGCAUCAAGCUCAUCCACCUUAUGCUCCACCCAGUAUUCUACUACACCACCUGAGGACUGAUGGGAAGCUAAGCCUCCACCAGGUCAAAUGCUGACCAAAAACAAGACCAAAAAAAUUGGGUUAGCUAGCCACAAAAUAGUCAUGGGAAUAAAUUUUCAACAAUGUUUUUAUGAUGUGGUGGCUAUCUGGAAUGUUUACGAUGGUGGUGGGUGGGUCAUGAAGCUUUUCUUUGUUGGGCUAGGAAUAGCAUUCAGGAGUCAUGAUGAGCCAUGACGUUGGUGUUGCUUGGAGGAUUGGACUCAGAAAAAAGAAAAUAAAGAUCAGAUUCCUGAAUUGAAAUUUUCAAAGUUGAAUAAAAGCUGGUUGGUUGAAUUUUAAAAUUGUAUGUUAACUUAUUCUUGAUCAUAUCCAUUGUUUAUAUCA